rnacentral:rRNA from 1 species
CUCCGCCUGGGUCCGUAACACAUGCAAGUCGAACGCGAAAGGGACUUCGGUCCCGGGUAGAGUGGCGCACGGGUGAGUAACGCGUAAGUAAUCUACCCCUGUAUCUGGAAUAACCCACCGAAAGGUGAGCUAAUACCGGAUACGUUUAUCUUGAUGCGAAUGAUGAUAAAGAAAGGUGGCCUCUUCAUGAAAGCUACCGUACAGGGACGAGCUUGCGUACCAUUAGCUGGUUGGUAGGGUAAUGGCCUACCAAGGCGACGAUGGUUAGCGGGUCUGAGAGGAUGAUCCGCCACACUGGAACUGAAACACGGACCAGACUCCUACGGGAGGCAGCAGUGAGGAAUAUUGCGCAAUGGGGGCAACCCUGACGCAGCGACGCCGCGUGGACGAUGAAGGCCCUUGGGUCGUAAAAUCCUGUCAGAUGGAAAGAAAUGUACAGGUGUUAAUAUCGCCUGUAUUUGACGGUACCAUCAAAGGAAGCACCGGCUAACUCCGUGCCAGCAGCCGCGGUAAUAC